rnacentral:rRNA from 1 species
AGUUUGAGCUAAAUAUUAUAUAAUGUUAGAUACUAUAUAAAGGUGUUGUAAAAUCUUUUUAAAAAUAAUAUUUAGGAGUGAUAGGCCUCUCAAAAACUAAGAUAUCUUGAUUCUAAUUAAAGGUAUGUAGUAUAUUUAACACAACUAUUAAGUGAUUAGGCUUUAUAGAGUUAUUAAUUUUCAAGAAAUUUAUUUACUAUUGUAUAAAAAUUAAGUAUAUAAAAAUUUAUUAUUCAUAUAAUAAUAGUUUAUAAGAAAAUAUUUAGAUAAAUAUAAGUUUAAUAAAUUUGUAAUAAUGUUAAUAUUAGUAUUUAAAGUUUAUAUUUAAAAAAUGAACUCGGCAAAAAUUGCUUUUCAACUGUUUAUCAAAAACAUAACUAUGUGAAAAAAUACAUAGCAGUUUCUGCUCAAUGAUUUAUUUAAAUAGCCGCAGUAUUCUGACUGUGCAAAGGUAGCAUAAUCAAUUGACUUAUAAUUGAAGUCUAGAAUGAAUGAAAAAAUGGGAAGCCACUAUAUAUUUUAAAUUUAUAAAAAUUACUUAUGAAGUGAAAAUACUUCUAUAUAUAUAAUAGACGAGAAGACCCUAGAAAUUUUAAGUAUUUUAAUAUUUAUUUUAAAAAUUUUUGUUGGGGCGACAGAGUAGCAAUAUAUAACCUACUUAUAAUAACUUGCACUUAAUUUAUUGAUUGAAAAAAUUACUCUAGGGAUAACAGCAUAAUAUUUAAAAGUUUAUGACCUCGAUGUUGGAUUAGGAAAUAAUAACUUAAAAGGUUUUUUAUAUUGCUCUGUUCGAGCAUUUUACUCCUACAUGAUC